rnacentral:snoRNA from 1 species
GGCCUCCAGUUUCCUUCUCCAUUGGAUCAGAACACUGGUCUGCAUGGUCACAAAGGAGGAAAGUAAAAUUGACACUCACUUCAAUUCUGUUGGCACAUGCACGAGCUAGUUAUACACACCC